GGGUAUAGCUCAGCGGUAGAGUGCUUAGCAAGCACAAAGUCCUGGGUUCAAUCCCCAGUACCUCCA
rnacentral:tRNA from 1 species